rnacentral:tRNA from 1 species
GUGGUUGUGGCUCAGUGGUAGAGUGCUUGCCUAGCAUGUGUGAGGCACUGGGUUCCAUCCUCAGCACCACA